GCGGUGGUGACUGUGGAGGCUGAGUGACUGCCACCAGUCUGUCUGAUGGAUUGACUCAGACCACCAAGGAGCCAGCGCCAUUGAUUUCUGCUCAGCCAUCUCAUCUCUGUGACCUCUCCCUGGAAGGAAGGAAAGGAAAAGAGAAAGAGAGACAGGUUGAAGACUUCCCCUGCUGCAAAGCCAGCAUCCUCGCAGUGGAAAAGAAACUUAGAAAAUAUGCUUCCCAUUUGGGGCAUACUUCCCAAAAUCUCCAGUGAACAAGGCACGCACUUCACUGGGAAAAUCAUACAAGCCUUAACAAAAACCUUGCAAAUUUCUUGGAAUUACCACUGCUCCUAUCACCCUCAAUCAUCAGGCAAAGUUGAGAGAACUAAUGGAUAAACUGGAUUCAAGGAGAACAAGAAUUAAUAACAUGGGACUGAAUAAACUGAUGAGGAUGAUUAUAAUUGUUACGACUUUGUGUUUAAAAUAUUUCUGGUUCUUUAAUGUUUUUUCCAAAUUUAAAGACAUCUUUUCUCUUAGGCUAUCAACAAUUUGGUAAGCUAUAAUCUUGUGAACAAAUAUGAAACGUUUACUUUGUCUCCCUACCUGGUUCUUCCAGAAUUCAAAUAUUCUCAGUGAGUAUUAUUUUCAUGUUGUUUGUAACAGGGCAAAAUUGGAAACAGUGGCUAUAGUACCAAGGCUUUGAUUGAAAUGGUAUUGAGGAUAAGGUCUGAGAGUACUUAUGAAAAGCUUCAACAAAGCAACCUUAAAAAGAACUUAUAUGGUCAUUUACUAUUCUUGCCACAUUUAUAUAAAUAAUUAGGCCAAGUUUAACACAAACAAAUUAGUUUUACUGUGAUUAUCUUUGUUAAAAAUUGGGGGUAAGAGUAGAGAGAAAUAUUAUGUUUGCAUAUGUAUAUAUAUUAAGAUUCUAGUCCUUUUACUUGUCUUUGAGGUUUUGUUAUUUACCUGUACUCUGGACUGGAUCCUGAAUUCUUCUAGUUUCCUCAAAUAUCUGUCUAUGACUAUGCAAUCAAACAUUUCCAGUUUUCUCCCACCCUUCUGAUUUGGAAUCACUGAGGACAAAGACUGCCCUUAAAUCUCCUUAGCAGAGACUGUAUCAGGUCCUCCUGACUAUCCAGAUGGCAGCCACACUUCGGGGACUUAAACCUUGGAUGCACUUCUCACAGUAGGGAAAGGUCACGCCUGAACCUGGUCCUGUACAAAUGCUGGAGUCCUCCAAAUCAAACUGAUGAGGGAGAGAGUAUCUAACAUGGGUGUAGACUGCUUCCACCCCAGACGCUAGAUUGAGACUUCCAACUUCAACUAAACAUAAAACCCUUUCUUCUUUUUCUUCUUUCUUUAUUCUGGCAUUAGCCUGGAGAGAUAACACAUUUGUCUGUAUCUCCCAGGCCAUUGCAAAGGGGAAUAGUCUUUGGAAUUUGGAGUCACUUUAUUUCAGGCUAGGGGAUUCUCUUCCCACAUGUGCUAAAACCCUGCCUGGCCCCUGGCUUGAACUAAUGAAUCCACUCACAGAACCUCCUUAACAGGAAUGAAUGGUACCCUGACAGGUCUUGUCUUUGUAGCGCUUGUCAUUCUCCUUGGGCCUAUGAAUGCCAAGACGGCUGACACACGCCUCUUAAGUUAACUAACUCUGCCCUUAACUCUUCUAGAAAGGACCUACCAGGUCUCCUUUUAUGAUUCAGGUGUGAUUCUUUUGGCAGGGCCCUUCUUCCCUGGUUAGGAGUAAAUGUAACUGAGGCUAUGAUCAGAAACCUCUCCACAACUCAUGAAGAUAUUGCAGUUUUUGUUGCUAAGACAUUAGCAACAGUAUCUUACACAACAAUGUUUUGCCCAGCAAAAAUAUUUAAACUCUCUGGCCAAGAUUCUUCUUGAAAAUGACAUAGCCCUUGAUUAUCUUUCUGCUGAGCAAGGAGGUAUCUGUGCAGUGGCCAACACCACCUCACGUACCUGGAUUGACACUUCUGGGGAAGUUGAAACUCAGUUACAUAAGAUCACUGAGAAAACACUUGACUUAAAAAGGUGACUCCAACAGGGUUUUUCUUUGACUGAUUUGGGUCUUGAGGAUUAUGGUUGCAAAGUGUACUCUAAACAUUGGGAAUUAUCCUGCGAUAAUUGUGAUAAUGUUCUCCCUGACAUAGCAUCCUCUCAGAAGCUUUAAAUGCACAUUCACAAAUGCUGACCAGCAGGGAAAUUAUCUUUCUAAGACUGGAACUUCAGAAAAGAAAUUACUCAAGUUAAGGAUGAUGAAGCUGGAACUGAGACUGUCACAGGGAUUAAGCAAAAACAUCAUGACCUAUGGAUAUCACACCAAAGACCAACAAAGCUGAAGGGCGACAGCUGAGAGUGGUGCUAAUGCCUUAAAUUUGAUCACAUCUCUAAGUUAGGGUGAGAGUCUGAUCAAUAGCGGGGAUUGUUAAAGAGAAAAACUGCAGGCCUAAAAUGAUGUCACCUGUGCCGAAGACCAUGCUACCAGAUCUAGAUUUAAUACCGAACAUAAUUGUGGUUUCGACCUUACCCCAGAAUAUCACCUUAAUCAACCAGUUUGGUAUUUUCUGGUCAACACUGAUGAGGUCAUCUUCAUGAUAAAGACCCCUGAUUUUCCAUUCCUGCCAUUUUCCAUUUCUCCACAAAGAAGAGGCCUUGGCCCCAAAUAACCAUGUCUCAUCUUUUACUAAUGUCCCCUCCGCCUCACCGUCCUUCCUAUAAAAACUUCCAUUCUGUACAGCUCCUUGAAGUAUGCUUCUAGUUCAUGGGAUGCUGCUUAAUUCAUGAAUCAUUGAAUAAAGCCAAUAAUGUCUUCAGAUUUA